rnacentral:lncRNA from 1 species
GCUCCAACAAUCCAACGUCUUGAAUGGCAAGCACGUCCAAGGGUCUCCUUCCUUCUUCUUUGCUGCGGCACAAGGGAUGGUUGAAGGUUUUUGUGGUGAUUUGUGGUGGUGGAUGGAUAUAGGUUGGUUAUGGUGAAGGGUGGAGUGCUUAGAAUGGUCUGCAAGGGCCUUUAUUUAUAGGGGAAGGAAGGGCUGCGAAUUUGAAGUGUUUUUAGGGAAGGAUUUAUGUAGGAAAAGGAAUGUGAUUUUGGGUCAGAAAAUAGGCAAGAAAGGUGCAGAAAUUAAAGAGAAAAGGAAAGGGAAAUUCGACAGAAAUUGUAGGACAGAUUUAGGAAUGUGUUUUGAAGCACAAAAUAGGUAAAAAAAGAUGUAGGGUGCGGCAUAGGGUUUUAGGGAAAAGGAAAUAUGUUUUAGGACAUAAAAUAGGAAGGAGAAUCUCUCCCUUGUGCGCCAAGGAAUGGAACAAAACAGGAAUGUCGUUUAGGUGUAGAAAAUAGGAAAGAAAGGUUGUGUCUUGUGCAGCAAAGAACUAGAAAUUAAAGGGAUGGUGCGGCAAUAUCUAGGGAAAGUUCUAGGACUUCUAGAAACAUGUAAUUAGGCAACCUAACAUGUUUUGAAACCCUUUUGUGGCUGGAAUAUAGGUGAGGAAGGAUUAGGAAACUUCCAAGCCAAGAAUAGAAACUUUCAAGAAUGGAAACCUCCAAGAAUAGAAACUUUGGUUUCCAAUUAUGAACUCUUUGUUCUUCAUUUUCAUUUCUUCAUUUCAUUAUUCAUUCCUAGCCUCCUUUGAUCUUCAAUUUCGUCCAUCCACCUUGCUCCAAGCAUAAGCUAUCCAUUCCAUGCCCAAAACUGCUCCAAAAGGCUCCAAAAUGCACAUGUUUGCAUACUUUGUCCUUAAAACCUGAAAUUGCACGAAAAUAGCUUAAAAUACUAAAAUUACUAAGUACUAGCAACGUAAAUGCAAGGAAACAAGCUAAUUAAGUCACAUAAAUAUGGUCCUAUCAAGUUUCACCUAAUCGUUACAAGUUUAUUUUCAUUAGUAGUGAAGGUUGCUUGUCACAAUCGCGUUAAUUGAAUUCUUGGCAACGUAUCAUGCAUUCAUAGUUACAAUUGCCUCGUCAACAUUUAUGAUUUUCAUGAAACGUAAUGAUCUCUUAUUGUAUCUCUAUU